rnacentral:rRNA from 1 species
AUUGAACGCUGGCGGCAGGCCUAACACAUGCAAGUCGAGCGGAUGAAGGGAGCUUGCUCCUGGAUUCAGCGGCGGACGGGUGAGUAAUGCCUAGGAAUCUGCCUGGUAGUGGGGGAUAACGUCCGGAAACGGGCGCUAAUACCGCAUACGUCCUGAGGGAGAAAGUGGGGGAUCUUCGGACCUCACGCUAUCAGAUGAGCCUAGGUCGGAUUAGCUAGUUGGUGGGGUAAAGGCCUACCAAGGCGACGAUCCGUAACUGGUCUGAGAGGAUGAUCAGUCACACUGGAACUGAGACACGGUCCAGACUCCUACGGGAGGCAGCAUUGGGGAAUAUUGUACUAUGGGCGAAAGCCUGAUCCAGCCAUGCCGCGUGUGUGAAGAAGGUCUUCGGAUCGUAAAGCACUUUAAGUUGGGAGGAAGGGCAGUAAGUUAAUACCUUGCUGUUUUGACGUUACCAACAGAAUAAGCACCGGCUAACUUCGUG